AAAAAAGGUUGUUUAAUGUAAAUUGAUUGUUUAUUGAGUAUAAGUAGUAUAGAAAUAUAUGUGGUAGAAAGUACUGUAAAGGAAAAUUGUUAAUUGUAUUUUAGUAGUUAUUUAUUUUCGUACCUUUUGUAUAAUGGAUUAAUGAUUGUAGUUAUUUUAUAGUAAUAUCUCGAAGUAGAAGGAUUUACUUGAUGGGGAUAUGUUAACGUUGUAUAGUUAUAUAAUGACUGUUAAGUGGUAAUGAAAUGUUUAUCGAUUUCUAUGAUAGCUAGUUUAUUAGGGUAGAAUAUUUAAGUAUUAUAAUAUAAAUAUAAUAAAAAAUUAUAUUUAUAUUAGUUUAUUACAUGGGGGAUAAGCUUCAUGUAUAUUUAUAGAAUUGUUGUGUAGGAGUAUAAUUUAAGUAGAAUUAAUAACGUUUUUCUUUAAAAGUAGUUUAAAUUUUCUUUUAUAAAUUUAAAUUCAGGUUGGUAUCUAAUAAAUGUUUAUUAAUUAUUUUAUAAAUAUUUAUAAUGUUAGUAUGAGUAUUUGAUAUUAUUUUAUUGGUUUUAUAAUGUUAUAGAUGUAAAUAGUUUAUGUUAUAUAUUAAAAGGAAGUAGGGUAAAGGAAUUCGGCAAAUGUUAAUCUCGCCUGUUUAUCAAAAACAUGUCUCUUUGUUAUUUAUAUAUAAAGAGUCGGGCCUGCUCGGUGAUUAAUUUUUAACAGCUGCGGUAUUUUAACUGUACUAAGGUAGCAUAAUAAUUUGCCUUAUAAUUUGAGGCUAGAAUGAAUGGUUUGACGAAGGUUAAUCUGUCUCUACUUUAUUUUUUAGAAUUUAAUUUUUAUAGUGAAAAAGCUUGAAUUUUUUAAAGGGACGAGAAGACCCUAAUGAGCUUAUAAUUUUAUGUUUGUCAUUAAUAUUAGUGAGGUGAAAUAUAAAUUUUAAUUGGGGUGAUUGAGGAAUAAAAGUAUAUAAGUAACUUCCUUAAACUUAAUGUUGUUGGAUAAAGUAACCAAUAUUUUUUUGCUUAUAAUAUAGUUACCAUAGGGAUAACAGCGUAAUUUGUUUAGAGAGUUCUUAUUGAAAAACAAGAUUGCGACCUCGAUGUUGGAUUAAAGUAACCUUAAGGUGCAGAAGCUUUAAUAGGUAAAUCUGUUCGAUUUUUAAAACUUUACAUGAUCUGAGUUCAGACCGGCGUGAGCCAGGUUGGUUUCUAUCUUUUAAAUUGAUUAAUAUUUCUUUUAGUACGAGAGGACCAAGGAUAAUUAAAUUUAUUUAUUAUAAUACAAAG
rnacentral:rRNA from 1 species